AGCAGACUUGGGAUGCUAUAAGUGGCAGACUCAGCUUAACAGGUGGAGGUUAUAAGGAAGUUGAUUUUGACUCAGCAGAAAGACAAGACUGUUUCCAUAAAAGCUAUUCCUCAAUGUAACAGGCUGCCUGGGAGGUAGUGAGUCCCUACUCUUGAAGGUAAUCAAACAGGCUGCUGGGACCACUUGUCAGCAGCAGGAGAGAGGGAGGUUCCUCAUCCUGGGUGGGAUGUUGAACUUGGUGGUUUCCUAGGAACCUCAUCUCUAUGAGGCAAUGGCAAAGUAAAUGGGUAGGGUGGGAAUUCAGAUCUCUACCCACAAAGACAAUCUAGGAGCCAGUUUUGGACAAACAUGAUGCUGACCCCACUGAUUGGGGAUCAGCAGAGCCUGGUGUGCAUGGGUGAGAAUGGCAUGGACUUAUCCGCUUUCCUGAACUGACUUGUUGAAACUGUCACACUCAUGUUCACCUAAUGGCUGCAGCAAAUAAAUCAAGUAUAAAUGUUGCAGAGUUGGUCACCUUAGCCCCGGCCUAUUACCUUCAUCUCUCCCUUGCUCCUCUGCAGACCGUCUGAGGCCAGCAGCAUUGGCUCCCCCUGGAAGCUGGAGAGAAAGGCAAAUUUUCUGGCCCUCAUCCCAGACCAUCCUAUUGGAAUCUGCAAUUUCACAAGAUCCCCAGGUUGUCCCUGGAUCUGUUUUCCAUGGUUCCUGCCCUUUGAUUUUAUGCUUCUUAUCAAGGAUGGCCCCACCUACCACGCCCAUAAUUCCUCAACAGAUAUUAAAGGCUCAAGCAAAUGUCUCAUGGAAAGAGGCCAGGCCCCAAACUGUCCCAGAGAAAUUAAAAGUGAAAAUAAUUUAUGUCACAGUGCUGAGGAAAUGAAAUACCCAGUGGUCAAGAAAUAAAUAUGUCAAAGCUUCUAACAAAAUAUGAAGUGGGAAUGUAGCUCCAGACUGUGUGGACCUACUCACUGCCUUUCACUGUGGAACCAGCUUUAAUAUUUUUGACCUCACCAUAUGGCAUGUGGGAUCCUACUUCCCUGACCAGAGAUUGAACAAGUGCCCACUGUGCUGGAAACACUGAGUCUAAACCACUGGACCACAAGGUCAAAUUCUAUGCUCAGUGCUAACAUUCCAGGAAUGUGGACUGCACAAAAUCAACACAAGCCUUACUCUAUAUUCUGCUGCUCAGAAAAACAGACCGUGAGAGGGUGGCUCAGACAAGGGUGAAUGGACGAUUGCUAGGAACAGAUAGCAAGGGUGGGGUAAGAUUGCCAUGGUUAAUGUGUAAGGUUGAAACUUGAUGUUAGAAUGAAAGUUAGGAAUUAAGUUUGAGAAGCAGCUUAGGAAACUCUUGCUCUGGCUGUUGAGAAAAGAUGAUAUUGGGGUUUUGUUUUGGCCAUUAGUUUUCAUGCUGAAAGAAACAAUAUCCAGGCCUUAUAGGUCAUGCCUAUGGCUCUGGGAAUAUUUCUGAAAUAUCAGAUGCAAAGAGCUUUUAUUUUAAAAGAAGGGCAGCUACUCCCAUUUGGAAGGUUUUAAAUAAAUAGAAAAAGUUUUU
ensembl:lncRNA